rnacentral:misc_RNA from 1 species
UCCGGUUAGUCACCGGCAGUCUCAUUAGAGUGCCCAACUGAAUGUGGCAACUAAUGACAAGGGUUGCGCUCGUUGCGGGACUUAACCCAACAUCUCACGACACGAGCUGACGACAGCCGUGCAGCACCUGUGUCCCGGUUCCCUUUCGGGCACCCUCACAUCUCUGCGAGGUUCCUAGCAUGUCAAGGGUAGGUAAGGUUUUUCGCGUUGCAUCGAAUUAAUCCACAUAAUCCACCACUUGUGCGGGUCCCCGUCAAUUCCUUUGAGUUUUAAUCUUGCGACCGUACUUCCCAGGCGGCUUGCUUAACGCGUUAGCUCCGCCACAAGAGGGGUCGAUUCCUCUUACAGCAAGCAAGCACCGUUUAGGGCUAGGACUAC